UUGCUUCAGCAGCACAUAUACUAAAACUUGAAAUGAUACAGAGAAGAUUAGCAUGGCCCUGCACAAGAUUGACAUGCACAUUUGUGAAGCAUUCCAUAUUUUU